GACGAACCGUGCGAACGUUGUUCGGAAUCAUUGGGCUUAAAGGGCGCGUAGGCGGGCUGUCAAGUCUGGGGUGAAAUCCUCCCGCUCAACGGGAGAAUCGCCUCGGAUACUGAUGGCCUCGAGGACGGUAGGGGCAUGCGGAACUGUGAGUGGAGCGGUGAAAUGCGUUGAUAUUCACAGGAACUCCAGUGGCGAAGGCGGCAUGCUGGACCGUAUCUGACGCUGAGGCGCGAAAGCUAGGGGAGCGAACGGG
rnacentral:misc_RNA from 1 species